AACGAACGCUGGCGGCAUGCCUAACACAUGCAAGUCGAACGAAGCCUUCGGGCUUAGUGGCGCACGGGUGCGUAACGCGUGGGAACCUGCCUUUAGGUUCGGAAUAACUCCCCGAAAGGGGUGCUAAUACCGAAUAAUGUCUUCGGACCAAAGAUUUAUCGCCUUUAGAUGGGCCCGCGUUGGAUUAGCUAGUUGGUGGGGUAAAGGCCUACCAAGGCGACGAUCCAUAGCUGGUCUUAGAGGAUGAUCAGCCACACUGGGACUGAGACACGGCCCAGACUCCUACGGGAGGCAGCAGUGGGGAAUAUUGGACAAUGGGCGAAAGCCUGAUCCAGCAAUGCCGCGUGAGUGAUGAAGGCCUUAGGGUUGUAAAGCUCUUUUACCAGGGAUGAUAAUGACAGUACCUGGAGAAUAAGCUCCGGCUAACUCCGUGCCAGCCGCCGCUGUAAGAC
rnacentral:rRNA from 1 species